rnacentral:rRNA from 1 species
UACAGAGGUCUCAAGCGUUGUUCGGAUUCAUUGGGCGUAAAGGGUGCGUAGGUGGCGUGGUAAGUCGGGUGUGAAAUUUCGGAGCUUAACUCCGAAACUGCAUUCGAUACUGCCGUGCUUGAGGACUGGAGAGGAGACUGGAAUUUACGGUGUAGCAGUGAAAUGCGUAGAGAUCGAUAAGGAAGACCAGUGGCGAAGGCGGGUCUCUGGACAGUUCCUGACACUGAGGCACGAAGGCCAGGGGAGCAAACGGG